rnacentral:rRNA from 1 species
UACGUAGGUGGCAAGCGUUGUCCGGAAUUAUUGGGCGUAAAGCGCGCGCAGGCGGUCCUUUAAGUCUGAUGUGAAAGCCCACGGCUCAACCGUGGAGGGUCAUUGGAAACUGGGGGACUUGAGUGCAGGAGAGAAGAGUGGAAUUCCACGUGUAGCGGUGAAAUGCGCAGAUAUCAGGAGGAACACCAAUGGCGAAGGCAGCACUCUGGGACGUGACUGACGCUGAGACGCGAAAGCGUGGGGAGCAAACAGG